rnacentral:lncRNA from 1 species
UUGUGUAUUUUUUCUUAAAUUAUGAAGUGAUUGUAUAUUUGCGAAUGAAUUUAAUAGAAUUUUUGGAAAGAAAUCUGUAAGAAAAAUGUGUUAAGUUAUAUGUAAACAAAAUUAUUUGGAUUUUUUGACAAAUUGUAUGACAAGUGGUUUUAGUUGGUAUUAAAUUCUAAAUUUAACUGGAUCAUAUUAGAUGUUGUCAUCGCUGAAGAAAUUAGUAAGUUAGAAAUUAAUUAUCUGGUACGAUUAAAAUAAGCAAGGGGGCAAGUCAAGUAAGCAAAAAUGUAUUUGUAAUGAGUGAGUAAUUGUUGUAUGAAAUGUGUAUUAAGUGUGUUUGAAUGUUGGUAUGAUAUAAGUUGUCUUUGCGACAUGUGUAUGAAAUGUAUAUUAAGAAAGUAUGAAUUUCGUUUGUAGUCGUGUCUGAUGAAAUGUAUGAAAAGUUUUUUAAUGUUGUAUUGAUGGUGAAAUUUUAUGUAG